rnacentral:rRNA from 1 species
UGGUGAAUAUUGCACAAUGGGCGCAAGCCUGAUGCAGCAACGCCGCGUGAACGAUGAAGGUCUUCUGAUCGUAAAUUUCUGUUGCAGGGGAAGAUAAGGACGGUACCCUGUGAGGAAUCCCCGGCUAACUACGUGCCAGCAGCCGCGGUAAUACGUAGGGGGCUAGCGUUAUCCGGAUUUACUGGGCGUAAAGGGUGCGUAGGUGGUCUUUCAAGUCGGUGGUUAAAGGCUACGGCUCAACCGUAGUUAGCCUCCGAAACUGGAAGACUUGAGUGCAGGAGAGGAAAGUGGAAUUCCCAGUGUAGCGAUGAAAUGCGUAGAUAUUGGGAGGAACACCAGUAGCGAAGGCGGCUUUCUGGACUGCAACUGACACUGAGGCACGAAAGAGUGGGUAGCAAACAGG